AUUUUGACUAUACAAAGGUAUUGUAAUAAGACUUUAAUUGAGUGCUAAGAGAAUGGAAUUUCAAAAAAAUUCUUUUUUGAAAUUAAUAAUUGAAGUUAUUUUUAUUUGUGAAGAAACAAUAAUAGAAAUUAAGGACAAGAAGACCCUAAGAAUUUUAGUUUAAUUAUUUAUAUAGACUAUAUAAAUAAUUUAAUUUAAUUGGGGCGAUUAUAAAAUAUUAUAAACUUUUAUCUAAAAAAAUUUGACCCAUUAUUAAUGAUAAUUUGGUAAAAUACUCUAGGGAUAACAGCGUAAUAAUUUUAGAUAGUUCAUAUAGAAAAAAUAGUUUGCGACCUCGAUGUUGGAUUAGGAUUCUAAUUUAAUGAAGAAGUUAAAUCAAGAAGUUUGUUCAACUUUUAAUAUCCUACAUGAUCUGAGUU
rnacentral:rRNA from 1 species